GGGAUUGUGGCUCAGAGGGAGAGCGCUCACCUAGCAUGCGUGGGCCAUUGGGUUUGAUCCUCAGCACUACCU
rnacentral:tRNA from 1 species